rnacentral:ncRNA from 1 species
GAGAGCCGGAUACCGAGAAAUUGGUCCGUCCUGUUCGGUGGGAGACACACAGAAACCUGAUCUGGAAACAGAUCAAGGCGCUGUGUGUCCACCCUAU